rnacentral:rRNA from 1 species
CCUACGGGUGUGCAGCAGUGGGGGAUAUUGCACAAUGGGGGGAACCCUGAUGCAGCGACGCCGCGUGGGUGAAGAAGCGCCUCGGCGCGUAAAGCCCUGUCAGCAGGGAAGAAAAUGACGGUACCUGAAGAAGAAGCCCCGGCUAACUACGUGCCAGCAGCAGCGGUAAUACGUAGGGGGCAAGCGUUAUCCGGAUUUACUGGGAGUAACGGGGGCGCAGACGGCGAUGCAAGCCAGGAGUGAAAGCCCGGGGCCCAACCCCGGGACGGCUCUUGGAACUGCGUGGCUGGGGUGCAGGUGGGGCAGGCGGAAUUCCUGGUGUAGCGGGGAAAGGCGUAGAUAUCAGGAGGAACACCGGUGGCGAGGGCGGCCUGCUGGACUGCAACUGACGUUGAGGCCCGAAAGCGUGGGGAGCAAACAGGAUUAGAUACCCGUGUAGC